rnacentral:rRNA from 1 species
GGGUUGUGAGGUUAAGCGACUAAGCGUACACGGUGGAUGCCCUGGCAGUCAGAGGCGAUGAAGGACGUGCUAAUCUGCGAUAAGCGUCGGUAAGGUGAUAUGAACCGUUAUAACCGGCGAUUUCCGAAUGGGGAAACCCAGUGUGAUUCGUCACACUAUCGUUAACUGAAUACAUAGGUUAACGAAGCGAACCGGGGGAACUGAAACAUCUAAGUACCCCGAGGAAAAGAAAUCAACCGAGAUUCCCCCAGUAGCGGCGAGCGAACGGGGAGGAGCCCAGAGCCUGAAUCAGCAUGUGUGUUAGUGGAAGCGUCUGGAAAGGCGCGCGAUA